rnacentral:RNase_P_RNA from 1 species
GUAAAACAGGUGGUCGCUGCUGCAGGAACGAAAGGCUGCAGGAGAGGAAAGUCCGGGCUUCACAGGGCAGGAUGCCAGAUAACGUCUGGUGGAGGCGACUCCAAGGAAAGUGCAACAGAAAUAAACCGCAGAGAUGAUACCUCUGUAAGGGUGGAAAGGCAGUGUAAGAGACUACCGCCUUCCUGGUAACAGGGAGGGCAUAUGUAAACCCCAUCCGAAGCAAGGCCGAACAGGGAGCAAGGGCGGCCCGUCUGCUCCCGGGUUGGCUGCUUGAACCUGGCGGUGACGCCAGGUCUAGAUAGAUGACCACUCAACGACAUAACCCGGCUUAUCGUUUUGCUCA